rnacentral:rRNA from 1 species
GGGUCAGGAGGUUGGUCGUGCCACCGGUACGUACUGGUCUCACUGAUUCCUCCUUCCUGAAGAACCGUAAUGCCAUUAAUUUGGUGUUGCGGGGAAACAGGACUGUUACUUUGAAAAAAUUAGAGUGUAUAAAGCAAGCUAACGCUUGAAUACAUUAGCAUGGAAUAAUGAAAUAGGACGAUCGAUCCUAUUUUGUUGGUUUCUAGGAUUGACGUA